rnacentral:lncRNA from 1 species
UCAGCUUUCUUUACUGUCCAGCUUUCACACCCUCAUAUGGAGAGCAGGAAUACAAUAGUAGAGAUGAUCUUGGUCUUGGUCUCCAGUGAUACAUCCUUACACUUUCAUAUUUUCUAAUUCCAGCCUUCCUCUGAUUUCUUUGCUGCAGUCUCCAUUUGGAUAGAUGAUUGAAUCAAGGUAUACAAAAUCUCUAUUUCAGUGUAUUCGUUGUCAAUAUUACAGUUGUAUAGUUCUUCUGUAGUCACAAUUUUUGAUUUCUUCUUAUUCAAUUGCAGUCCUGCUUUGGCACAACUGGGACAGAAUGGAGCAAAAUAAAAAAGUACUGUAACUAACGAAAUUAGAGUCACAAUGCCUUUGUCAAGAACAUAAUCUCUUGGGUUGCCUAAGACUAAAUCCAUGGAAUAAAAAUGGGUGGGACCAGAUUUCCAUAUUGAACAGAGCUGAGGUAGCCUUGCAACUGGAAAAUUAUGCAAGGUGUGAUGAUACUUAACAACGGAAACAGCAAAAUGCAUGCUUAAUUGCAGGAAACGCACAGCUUUAUAUGGAACAGCACGUCAACAUGUAGAGAGUCAUUGUUUAAAUAGCUGCUGACUGUCUUCAGCUCAUUUUAAAACCAAGAAACAAGAGGCUUCUGCUGCAUGCAGUGCUUGAUGGGAAAAAUCU